UACGGAGGGAGCUAGCGUUGUUCGGAAUUACUGGGCGUAAAGCGCGCGUAGGCGGCUUUGUAAGUUAGAGGUGAAAGCCCGGGGCUCAACCCCGGAAUUGCCUUUAAGACUGCAUCGCUAGAAUCCGGGAGAGGUGAGUGGAAUUCCGAGUGUAGAGGUGAAAUUCGUAGAUAUUCGGAAGAACACCAGUGGCGAAGGCGGCUCACUGGACCGGUACUGACGCUGAGGUGCGAAAGCGUGGGGAGCAAACAGG
rnacentral:rRNA from 1 species